GUUGUACUUCCUCCAUUCGGAAUUACUCGUCCAAGAAAUGAAUGUAUCUAGAUGUAUUUUAGUUGUAGAUACAUCCAUUUUUAUGACAAGUAAUUCCGAACGAAGGGAGUAUGUA
rnacentral:pre_miRNA from 1 species